rnacentral:rRNA from 1 species
AACGAACGCUGGCGGCAUGCCUAACACAUGCAAGUCGAACGAGACCUUCGGGUCUAGUGGCGCUCGGGUGCGUAACGCGUGGGAACCUGCCCUUAGGUUCGGAAUAACUCCCCGUAGGGGGUGCUAAUACCGGAUAAUGUCUUCGGACCAAAGAUUUAUCGCCUUUGGAUGGGCCCUCGUUGGAUUAGCGAGUUGGUAGGGUAAAAGCCUACCAAGGCGAGGAUGCAUAGCUGGUCUGGGAAGAUGAUCCACCACACUGGGACUGAGGCACGGCCCAGACUCCUACGGGAGGGAGCAGUGGGGAAUAUUGGACAAUGGGCGAAAACCUGAUCCAGCAGUGCCGCGUGAGUGAUGAAGGCCUUAGGGUUGUAAAGCUCUUUUACCCGGGAUGAUAAUGACAGUACCGGGAGAAUAAGCUCCGGCUAACUCCGUG